rnacentral:rRNA from 1 species
UACAGAGGGGGCAAGCGUUGUUCGGAAUUACUGGGCGUAAAGGGCGCGUAGGCGGCCUUCUAAGUCGAACGUGAAAUCCCCGGGCUCAACCCGGGAACUGCGUCCGAUACUGGAAGGCUUGAAUCCGGGAGAGGGAUGCGGAAUUCCAGGUGUAGCGGUGAAAUGCGUAGAUAUCGGAAGGAACACCAGUGGCGAAAGCGGCUUCCUGGUCCAGCACCGACGUUCAGGCACGAAAGCGUGGGGAGCAAACAGG